GUCAUGUGAUUGUGUCAUGUGACUGUGUUCUUCAGAGAGGAUCAAUAUAAUUACAGGUGAUCCGCAACGCUGUCAGCUUAGGCUGUUCUACUGACACAAGCGCACAGCGAUCACUAGAACAACACCUCUGCUUUCACUUUCCAUCUUUCAACACAGGAAUACUCUGAAUCCACAGCCCAGCACAGUAUGGGACAACAACUAAAAUGGACAACCUGAACCCUCCUGCAGUCUGGGUCCAUUUGACAGCAGCGCCCUCCUGUGGUCGGUCUGGGAAACACUCAGGAUGGAGAACACACCACAGGGACUGUUUCUGUUUUUAUCUGCAACAGGAGGAAAGAUAUCUGGUCUGGAUUCAGUCAUGUACGAUCCAAACCUGAGACGUCUCCACAACAUCCCAGUCAAG